rnacentral:misc_RNA from 1 species
AAUAAGUUUCUAAAUAUAUUUUAUAAUAUUUUUAAAAUUUUUUUGAAUUGGAAAAUUUUUUUUUAUUAUUGAAAAGUGAAUGUGUUUUCCAUAUUUCCCCUUGUUUUGUAUGGAAAAUGAAAAACAAAGAAUUGUCUUUCACAAGUAUACAGGUGCUACAAGUUUGUGUUUUCAUCUAAGUAUUCAACAUAUGUUAUCCUAAAUUGUUUUUGGUAAAUUUAAUGUGUAACAAGUUUUGAGUCCAGUACUAGUUUGGAAGUGGUCAUUGGGGCGCG